rnacentral:rRNA from 1 species
CCUACGGGGGGCAGCAGUGGGGGAUAUUGCACAAUGGAGGAAACUCUGAUGCAGCAACGCCGCGUGAGGGAAGAAGGUCUUCGGAUUGUAAACCUCUGUCCUCAGGGACGAUAAUGACGGUACCUGAGGAGGAAGCUCCGGCUAACUACGUGCCAGCAGCCGCGGUAAUACGUAGGGAGCAAGCGUUGUCCGGAUUUACUGGGUGUAAAGGGUGCGUAGGCGGCCCUGCAAGUCAGGUGUGAAAACUAUGGGCUUAACUCAUAGAUUGCACUGGAAACUGGGGGGCUUGAGUGAAGUGGAGGAGGGCGAAAUCCCGGGGGAGGCGUGAAAUGGGGAGGGAUCGGGAAGAAAACCAGUGGCGGAAGCGGGCUGGUGGGCUUUAACUUACGGUUGGGGAAGAAAGCGGGGGGAACCAACAGGGAUAGGUAACCUUGGUGGC